UACGUAGGGUGCAAGCGUUGUCCGGAAUUAUUGGGCGUAAAGAGCUCGUAGGCGGUCUGUCACGUCGGCUGUGAAAACCCGAGGCUCAACCUCGGGCCUGCAGUCGAUACGGGCAAACUAGAGUACUGCAGGGGAGACUGGAAUUCCUGGUGUAGCGGUGAAAUGCGCAGAUAUCAGGAGGAACACCGGUGGCGAAGGCGGGUCUCUGGGCAGUAACUGACGCUGGAGGAGCG
rnacentral:rRNA from 1 species